rnacentral:rRNA from 1 species
UGUUGCUUCGGCGGGUAGGCCGUCCCCUGAAAAGGACGCCUCCCGGCCCGGACCGGACCCCCCGCGGGACCGGACCCGGCGCCCGCCGGAGGAUAACCAAACUCUAUUGUAACGACGUUUCUUCUGAGUGGCAUAAGCAAAAUAAUCAAAACUUUUAACAACGGAUCUCUUGGUUCUGGCAUCGAUGAAGAACGCAGCGAAAUGCGAUAAGUAAUGUGAAUUGCAGAAUUCAGUGAAUCAUCGAAUCUUUGAACGCACAUUGCGCCCGCCAGCAUUCUGGCGGGCAUGCCUGUUCGAGCGUCAUUUCAACCCUCAAGCUCUGCUUGGUGUUGGGGCUCUACGGUCGACGUAGGCCCUCAAAGGUAGUGGCGGACCCUCCCGGAGCCUCCUUUGCGUAGUAACAUUUCGUCUCGCACUGGGAUCCGGAGGGACUCUUGCCGUAAAACCCCCCAAUUUUCCAAAGGUUGACCUCGGAUCAGGUAGGAAUACCC